UAGGCUUUUAAUCCGGCCUGGCGAACUUGUCCAAAUCGCGACUUUGUUUACUUCCGGUGUGCGUUGGCGCGGAAAGAACUCGUCACACGAAACCCUUCACCGUGAUUUGUCAAUCCGUUUGUCUGUCAACAUUUUGCGAAAAAAAACAACCAAUGAACACUCAGUACAUCACAAAGGACCCGCCCACCACACAGAUGAGGCUCAUUUAGAAACAGCCGCAGUGAUUUUGGCGAGCAGCGCGGAGCCUGGAGGGGCUGCAGAGCCACGAGGAGGAACACGCAGCCAGAAGAGAGCCACUUGGACCGGAGAGGAUUCACCAGCGCCUGCAGCUCCACCUGCAGCGCAGCCUGCCCGGCCAGCAGAGAGCUCUCGUGACACGAUGACAUGAUGUUAUUAUAGUGAAGCCAUAUUGUAAAUUGUGUUCUGUUUUCUAUUUCACAACAUGUAUAUAAUGUAGAUUUUUUUUUAAAAUAUGUACAAUACAUAUUUAUAAAAAAUAAAAAAAUGUAAUGGUCA